GUGGGAUGGGACUUUUAUUAAUUAGAUGGAGUGAAUUUCCCAUAAUGCCCCUACUUUCUUUUAUAGGGAGGCUCUUUUUUGGACAAAUUUUUUUUUACCUCGGCCAUGAAGUGCCAUGGGAUGACCUUUUCCUAUUCUGCUCUUGCUUGACGGGUAAACAGUAUUGUCAAGCAUUAUCUCAGUUAUUUAAUCAGUUUCAUGGCCCUUCUUUUAGGAUAAUUAUUUUUCUGUGCUCCCAUUGAAAAAUUAUAUUAAAUUAAAAAGGUUUCUUGUCUGUUUUUGUUAGGUUCAUGCAUCUUCGUUGAAAUAGUGUACUUAAUAGCUAUCUAUUUUCAUAUCAUUUUUUAAGUAUUUUAUAUUUAUUAAAAAAUUUAUUAUUAAAAAAAAGGUCUCAUUUAUUGGAUUCGCCUUA
rnacentral:lncRNA from 1 species